CGGCAUGGUUAAGACAUGCAAGUCGAACGAUAAGCAAGACUUCGGUCUUGUGGACAGUGGCGAACGGGUGCGUAACACGUGAGCAACCUGCCCUUGAGUACGGAAUAGCCCGCCGAAAGGCGGAUUAAUGCCGUAUGUGGCCCUUCAUCGCAUGGUGAAGUGGCUAAAGCUUGUAAUGGCGCUCAAGGAUGGGCUCGCGGCCUAUCAGCUUGUUGGUGAGGUAAAAGCUCACCAAGGCUAAGACGGGUAGCUGGUCUGAGAGGAUGAUCAGCCACACCGGGACUGAGACACGGCCCGGACACCUACGGGUGGCAGCAGUUUCGAAUCAUUCACAAUGGGCGAAAGCCUGAUGGUGCAAUGCCGCGUGGAGGAUGACGGCCUUAGGGUUGUAAACUCCUGUCAUUGGGGAGCAAUAAGCAGGUUAAUAGCCUGCCCUGAGUUAACCCAAAGAGGAAGAGGUGGCUAA
rnacentral:rRNA from 1 species